UGCAGUCGAGCGGGGAAGAGUAGCUUGCUACUUAACCUAGCGGCGGACGGGUGAGUAAUGCUUAGGAAUCUGCCUAUUAGUGGGGGACAACAUCUCGAAAGGGAUGCUAAUACCGCAUACGUCCUACGGGAGAAAGCAGGGGACCUUCGGGCCUUGCGCUAAUAGAUGAGCCUAAGUCGGAUUAGCUAGUUGGUGGGGUAAAGGCCUACCAAGGCGACGAUCUGUAGCGGGUCUGAGAGGAUGAUCCGCCACACUGGGACUGAGACACGGCCCAGACUCCUACGGGAGGCAGCAGUGGGGAAUAUUGGACAAUGGGGGGAACCCUGAUCCAGCCAUGCCGCGUGUGUGAAGAAGGCCUUUUGGUUGUAAAGCACUUUAAGCGAGGAGGAGGCUACCGAGAUUAAUACUCUUGGAUAGUGGACGUUACUCGCAGAAUAAGCACCGGCUAACUCUGUGCCAGCAGCCGCGGUAAUACAGAGGGUGCAAGCGUUAAUCGGAUUUACUGGGCGUAAAGCGCGCGUAGGUGGCCAAUUAAGUCAAAUGUGAAAUCCCCGAGCUUAACUUGGGAAUUGCAUUCGAUACUGGUUGGCUAGAGUAUGGGAGAGGAUGGUAGAAUUCCAGGUGUAGCGGUGAAAUGCGUAGAGAUCUGGAGGAAUACCGAUGGCGAAGGCAGCCAUCUGGCCUAAUACUGACACUGAGGUGCGAAAGCAUGGGGAGCAAACAGGAUUAGAUACCCUGGUAGUCCAUGCCGUAAACGAUGUCUACUAGCCGUUGGGGCCUUUGAGGCUUUAGUGGCGCAGCUAACGCGAUAAGUAGACCGCCUGGGGAGUACGGUCGCAAGACUAAAACUCAAAUGAAUUGACGGGGGCCCGCACAAGCGGUGGAGCAUGUGGUUUAAUUCGAUGCAACGCGAAGAACCUUACCUGGUCUUGACAUAGUAAGAACUUUCCAGAGAUGGAUUGGUGCCUU
rnacentral:rRNA from 1 species